AGGUCUUGUAGUGGAGAAACAGGCACAUCUUUUGCGCAAGGUAUCGAAGGGCUCUAUGUUCAAAAAUCUGAAACUAGAGCUCAAAAUUUGAAAAAAAUUGUUAAAAACAGGGGGUUGGCCUAUUCCAUGGCUUCUAGAGAAAAAUAAUGAGGGGUGUCACGGGGUAUGACUAUAUAGGUCUUGUAGAGGAGAAACAGGCGCAUCUUUUGCGCAAGGUAUCGAAGGGCGCUAUGUUCAAAAAUCUGAAACUAGAGCUCAAAAUUCGAAAAAAAAUUGUUAAAAACAGGGGGGUUGGCCUAUUCCAUGGCUUCUAGAGAAAAAUAAUGAGGGGCGUCACGGGGUACGACUAUAUAGGUCUUGUAGUGGAGAAACAGGCACAUCUUUUGCGCAAGGUAUCGAAGGGCUCUAUGUUCAAAAAUCUGAAACUAGAGCUCAAAAUUUGAAAAAAAUUGUUAAAAACAGGGGGUUGGCCUAUUCCAUGGCUUCUAGAGAAAAAUAAUGAGGGGUGUCACGGGGUAUGACUAUAUAGGUCUUGUAGAGGAGAAACAGGCGCAUCUUUUGUGCAAGGUAUCGAAGGGCGCUAUGUUCAAAAAUCUGAAACUAGAGCUCAAAAUUUGAAAAAAAUUGUUUAAAACAGGGGGUUGGCCUAUUCCAUGGCUUCUACAGAAAAAUAAUGAGGAGUGUCACGGGGUAUGACUAUAUAGGUCUUGUAGAGGAGAAACAGGCGCAUCUCUUGCGCAAGGUAUCGAAGGGCGCUAUGUUCAAAAAUCUGAAACUAGAGCUCAAAAUUUGAAAAAAAUUGUUAAAAACAGGGAGGUUGGCCUAUUCCAUGGCUUCUAGAGAAAAAUAAUGUGGGGUGUCACGGGGUAUGACAAUAUAGGUCUUGUAGAAGAGAAACAGGCGCAUCUCUUGCGCAAGGUAUCAAAGGGCGCUAUGUUCAAAAAUUUGAAACUAGAGCUCAAAAUUUGAAAAAAAUUGUUAAAAACAGGGGGUUGGCCUAUUCCAUGGCUUCUAGAGAAAAAUAAUGAGGGGUGUCACGGGGUAUGACUAUAUAGGUCUUGUAGAGGAGAAACAGGCGCAUCUUUUGCGCAAGGUAUCGAAGGGCGCUAUGUUCAAAAAUCUGAAACUAGAGCUCAAAAUUCGAAAAAAAAUUGUUAAAAACAGGGGGGUUGGCCUAUUCCAUGGCUUCUAGAGAAAAAUAAUGAGGGGUGUCACGGGGUAUGACUAUAUAAGUCUUGUAGAGGAGAAACAGGCGCAUCUUUUGCGAAAGGUAUCGAAGGACGCUAUGUUCAAAAAUCUGAAACUAGAGCUCAAAAUUUGAAAAAAAUUGUUAAAAACAGGGGGGUUGGCCUAUUCCAUGGUUUCUAGAGAAAAAUAAUGAGGGGUGUCACGGGGAAUGACUAUAUAGGUCUUGUAGAAGAGAAACAGGCGCAUCUUUUGCGCAAGGUAUCGAAGGGCGCUAUAUUCAAAAAUCUGAAACAAGAGCUCAAAAUUUGAAAAAAAAAAGUUAAAAACAGGGGGUUGGCCUAUUCCAUGGCUUCUAGAGAAAAAUAAUGAGGGGUGUCACGGGGUAUGACUAUAUAGGUCUUGUAGAGGAGAAACAGGCGCAUCUUUUGCGCAAGGUAUCGAAGGGCGCUAUGUUCAAAAAUCUGAAACUAGAGCUCAAAAUUUUGAAAAAAAAUGUUAAAAACAGGGGGGUUGGCCUAUUCCAUGGCUUCUAGAGAAAAAUAAUGAGGGGUGUCACGGGGUAUGACUAUAUAGGUCUUGUAGAAGAGAAAUAGGCGCAUCUUUUGCGCAAGGUAUCGAAGGGCGCUAUGUUCAAAAAUCUGAAACUAGAGCUCAAAAUUUAAAAAAAAAAUUGUUAAAAACAGGGGGGUUGGCCUAUUCCAUGGCUUCUAGAGAAAAAUAAUGAGGGGUGUCACGGGGUAUGACUAUAUAGGUCUUGUAGAGGAGAAACAGGCGCAUCUCUUGCGCAAGGUAUCGAAGGGCGCUAUGUUCAAAAAUCUGAAACUAGAGCUCAAAAUUUCAAACAAAUUGUUAAAA